GACGAACGCUGGCGGCGCGCUUAACACAUGCAAGUCGAACGGAAAGGCCUGCUUUCCCUUGUGGAUUGCGGGUACUCGAGUGGCGAACGGGUGAGUAACACGUGAGUGAUCUGCCCCCAACUUGGGUAUAAGCCUGGGAAACUGGGUCUAAUUCCCGAUAGGACUGCAGGGUGGUGCCUGUGGUGGAAAACGAUUUUCUAGUGGUUGGGGAUGAGCUCGCGGCCUAUCAGCUUGUUGGUGGGGUAAUGGCCUACCACGGCGGCGACGGGUAGCCGGCCUGAGAGGGUGGACGGCAACAUUGGGACUGAGAUACGGCCCAGACUCCUACGGGAGGCAGCAGUGGGGAAUAUUGCACAAUGGGCGGAAGCCUGAUGCAGCGACACCGCGUGGGGGAUGACGGCCUUCGGGUUGUAAACUCCUUUCGACCGCGAGGAAGCCACCUGGUUGGAAGGGUGGUGACGGUAGUGGUAGAAGAAGCACCGGCUAACUACGUG
rnacentral:rRNA from 1 species